UUGUUCUGUAAUAGAUGCUGUGAGAGAAGUAAGGAAAUAUUCCUCAGUUCAUACCAUUGAGAAGAGCUCCACCAGCAGACCUGAUGCCUAUGAACACACACAGAUGAAACUUUUUAGGUCUCAAAGAAAUCUUUACAUUUCUGGAUUUUCCCUAUUUUUUUGGCUAGUUUUGAGACGUCUGGUUACGCUUAUUACUCAACUGGCAAAAGAACUGUCAAACAAAGGUGUACUUAAAACUCAAGCAGAAAAUACUAACAAGGCUGCCAAAAAAUUUAUGGAAGAAAACGAAAAACUAAAAAGGAUUUUGAAAAGCCAUGGUAAAGAUGAAGAAUGUGUUUUGGAAGCAGAAAAUAAAAAACUAGUAGAAGACCAGGAGAAACUGAAAACUGAAUUAAGGAAGACUUCAGAUGCCCUUUCUAAGGCACAAAAUGAUGUGAUGGAAAUGAAGAUGCAGUCAGAGAGACUUUCGAAAGAAUAUGAUCAACUCCUGAAAGAACACUCUGAACUUCAGGAUCGUUUAGAAAGAGGCAACAAGAAAAGACUGUGAACUUUAUAAAAGACACUUGCAAUAUACUGUGUCAAAAUGAUAAUUUUGUUAUGUUAGCCUCUAGAAAAUUUAAGUUCAGAAAAAUGCACUAUGACCGGUUCGUAAUUUUUUUAAUGCCACACAUAGGUUGUAUUGUAAUGGCAUUAUCAAAAUAUUUGAUGAUGUUUCAGAUAUAUUGCAAAGUCUGUAUUCCAGCUCUUAAGAAAAAUAUAAGCAUGUUAAAUACCAUAUUUACAUAUUGAUAAUGUCAUUGGUAUAUGGUGGCUGUUUACCAAUAAAAGGAAAAAAUUCAUUAACCGGUUGCUUCCAAAAUUAGAAGUUUUAAGUUGCAUGAAACCAUUAAUAGCCUUGAAAGCUUUGAUAAGUUUUCAGUAAUAAUAACCUAUUUA
rnacentral:lncRNA from 1 species